CGGGAGGUGGCGCAGCCCGGCUAGCGCACUUGCAUGGGGUGCAAGGGGCCGCGGGUUCAAAUCCCGCUCUCCCGA
rnacentral:tRNA from 1 species